rnacentral:siRNA from 1 species
CACAAGGGGAAGUAGAAGCGC